AUGAGGCUGGUUGAGACUGGUUGGCCUAAGAGGGGGGUUCAUAAUGGUAAUGUUGACAAUGGUAGUGGUGAUGGUGGUGGCAAUCACAGUAUGGGUGAUGCUGAGACUGUUGAUGCUGCUUUUGCGCCGGCAAAGCUGUCGAAUUGUGAAGCUAGUAAUAAAGCUGUGCUGGGUCAUACAAGGAGGAAGGGUACUGCAAAUUUGGGCAAAUUGAAUUUGAAUUUGAAUGCGGAGUUUGACAAUGAGGUGGAAGAAUCUGCUGCUGUGGGAGAGAAAGAAUAG